UGGGGAAUAUUGUACAAUGGGCGCAAGCCUGAUGCAGCAACGCCGCGUGAACGAUGAAGGUCUUCGGAUCGUAAAGUUCUGUUGCAGGGGAAGAUAAUGACGGUACCCUGUGAGGAAGCCCCGGCUAACUACGUGCCAGCAGCCGCGGUAAUACGUAGGGGGCUAGCGUUAUCCGGAUUUACUGGGCGUAAAGGGUGCGUAGGUGGUCUUUCAAGUCGGUGGUUAAAGGCUACGGCUCAACCGUAGUUAGCCUCCGAAACUGGAAGACUUGAGUGCAGGAGAGGAAAGUGGAAUUCCCAGUGUAGCGGUGAAAUGCGUAGAUAUUGGGAGGAACACCAGUAGCGAAGGCGGCUUUCUGGACUGCAACUGACACUGAGGCACGAAAGCGUGGGUAGCAAACAGG
rnacentral:rRNA from 1 species